GGUCCUGGUGCAUCCCUCAGGGUCCUGAGGGCUGCCCUUCCCGGGGCACAGGGCCUUCCAGGGCUUGAGCUUGGGGUGAUCCAGGUUUUUAAAUGUGCAUUUCCAGGUUUUUAAAUGUGCCUUUCCCAGGUUUUUAAAUGUGCAUUUCCCAGGUUUUUACCUUGCUGUUUUCCAGGUUUUUAAUUUGUGGCUUUCCCAGGUCUUUAACUUGUGGAUUUUCAGGUUUUUAACUUGAUGUUUUCCAGGUUUUUAAUUUGUGGUUUUCUGGCUUUUUAACUUGUGGCUUCCCCAGGUUUUUAACUUGUGGCUUCCCCAGGUUUUUAACUUGUGGCUUUCCCAGGUUUUUAACUUGGGCUUUCCCAGGGCUUUAACUUGUGGAUUUCCAGGUUUUAACUUGUGGCUUUCCAGGUUUUUAACUUGUUGUUUCCGAGGUCUUUAACUUGUGGCUUUCCCAGAUUUUUAAUUUGUGGCUUUCCAGGUUUUUAAUUUGUGGUUUUCUAGCUUUUUAACUUGUUGUUUUCCACGUUUUUCAUUUGUGGCUUUCCAGGUUUUUAAUUUGUGGUUUCCCAAGUUUUUAACUUGUGGUUUCCCAGGUUUUUAACUUGUGGUUUCCCAAGUUUUUAAUUUGUGGCUUUCCCAAGAUUUUAACUUGUGGCUUUCCCAGGUUUUUACUUGUGGCUUUCCCAGGUUUUUACUUGUGGCUUUCCCAGGUUUUUACUUGUGGCUUUCCCAAAUUUUAACACCUGACAGCAUCCCAGAUAUGAGUUGUGAGGAACCAGGUGUUGGUGGGGACCAAAACAAACCCACAGACGCCCCUCAGCACGCUGAUUCUUCUUCAACAAAAACAUUUCAGAUACCAGAGAGAGCCAGGACGUGGUGGUGGCACAGGAUCAGUUACUCCUGCACACCCACCAGCCACUCAAAAAUGAGGUGGUUCCACCUCUGCUGGGGUGAGGGCACAGAGGGCAGGGGCACCGAGGUUGGUUUCCCCCCAGGACAUGAGUCCCCCAUGAGCUGCCCCGUUAGUGAGGGGAGCUCUGGAGCAGGACAGCUUUGAGAACUGAGCCCCAGACGUGCUGGUCUUAGUCCUGAGAUUAAAAAGGUUUCCUCUGCAGCUGAUCUCCUGAUGUUCCGCUCAGCAGAGGAUCCCCAAGGCUGGCACUGGCACCAUGACCAAGUGCAGGUUUGGAACAAAACCUGAAGGUUUUUGGGUGAAAUUCUCAGAUACAGAGGCCACCCUCUAGUUAGAAAAUCAGUGCUGCUGCUGGCCAGCUUGGCAGAGAAGGAGACAGUGCCCGGGAGCCUGGCCCCAGCACUGCCCACAGCAAGGCGAUGUUCCUCUGGUGAUGACCACGGUGGAACUUGCAGGAAUAAAACGUGCUGAGGGGCUCUGCCAUCAUCUGCUGCUCCUUCCGGAGAGGCAGUCUGCACAAUUAGUGCUGCUUCACAUUAAUCACACAAACUCAGGCCGACGGAGAGCGCAGGAAGCAGAACAAAAUGUCGAUUUUUUCACUUAAUACAAUAAUUGAGGGUCCCAGGCAGGAGAUGUCUGGGUGGGCUUGGGAACAUUAUCCAGCUGUUCCACAGCAGGGACAGCAGCCCAGCCUGCCCUUGAGCCCUGUGGGGUGAUCCCUGUGCCAGUUUGGAGUAGAAAAAGAAAUAAAAUAAAUUCUUUUAGAA